AAGGAGGGUGCAAGCGGAAAGAGGAAAAAAGGGGAGGAAAGGGAGAGGAGGCGGGGUUUUAAGUCGGACGUGAAAGCCCUCGGCUCAACCGGGGAAUUGCGUUCGAAACUGGGAGACUUGAGUCCUGGAGAGGGUGGCGGAAUUCCGGGUGUAGGAGUGAAAUCCGUAGAUAUCCGGAGGAACACCGGUGGCGAAGGCGGCCACCUGGACAGGUACUGACGCUGAGGCGCGAAAGCGUGGGGAGCAAACAG
rnacentral:rRNA from 1 species